AAGAAAAGUGAUAGCAGGUGAUCGCAGUCUGGCUGAUUGGGAUGAUCCAAUAAUAAGAGGGGGUAGGCACUCGGGUCUGGUCCCUCUCUCUCACCUUGCUGUCAGCAGUGUCAGAGACCAGGACUUCAACACUUAAUCCUUUGACAACAGAUCUGUACAGGAUAGAAGCUUUCCAUGAUGACGCACAGACUCCCAAAAGGUGAAGACAACAGAAGUCGAGGCUGGAACUGUUGGAACAGCCGCAUGAAAAGCACGAUUGUUUUCAUAUCAACCCUCAGACCAGCAAGUCAGAUGGAACCAUUCACCUCAACCUCACAUCCCUCCUACAUACAGUACUUUUACUGCAGGAUGAGACAUGUCAGAGCAAAGGUGGGAAACAGUGGCGGUUACAGCAGUGAGCUAAUAUGCAACUUCUGCCCAACGACAACACUGAGGGGAUACGCUGCCUUAAAUCUGCAAACAACAAAGUCAUCGCCCAUCACCAUGUUUCACUGCAGACAUCAGCCAACCCUGAUGCCGCCCACUAUCAAAACAAAACUAUGUAGUGUUGCGUGGAGUCGGAUGAAAGAGUCUGUAUCAGGAGCCGGAUCUGGGUCUGGUACAGAACCGGUUACAGAUGUCACCUUGAGUAAACUUUGAUUCUUUAUGCAGGCACACACGUGCAUACCACAUAUAUCUCUUUUUUAAGAAUAAUUCCUCUCAUGAAAAUACGAACAGAUAGUGAAUGUUUAGCUGCAUCAACACUUCAGUAGUAACCAACCUUGCAUAGUAAGUAAUUAUGAAAUUUAAAAAAAAAAAAACUGAAAUUAGUUGAACUGAAUAUCCUGGUAUUCCCUCAAAUAUGAAAACAGUACUUUUCAGCGAAACACUUACACGUCACCAACAGUGACACAUUUGUACUUGGGUAAAUUUCCAAUCUUGUGCUGCCUAUAAAGAGCUUCACGUGGAAAAAUACAUUAAUUAGAACUGUCCAUAACAUUAUCCAUUGUGAACUUGUAAAAGUCCAUAAAUCAAACUGGACACAAGUAACAGUCCAUAAAUCCCACCACAUUCUGCCCCUUUUUAAAAAGGCAGGCGGCUGAAUCUGAUCAGAUCUUGUGUGCACUGAAACAUAUGAUCCAGUAUGGAGAAGACUUCCUCAUCAACCUUGUAGACCCACAAACUGCUGAGGCAGAACUUGCGUGAUUAAGACGAGGAAAAGAUUAUGUUUUUGAAAAGUUAUCUGAAUUCUUAUCUAAAGUGAUUUCUAUGAUGAUGAUACACAAUCGGUAUAGUUAUCUAGCCACCAAUCUGUGAAUUAUUCCAAGAGACGCUUAUACCGCAGCCUAUUAAGUUUAUUAUUGUCAAGCUAUUUCAUUAUACUCGCAAUUAAAUACUUUAUUGAAGGUGUCUAGUAUUUUAUUUCUUUUUUUUUAAAAAUAAAAAAUAAAGUUAA